rnacentral:rRNA from 1 species
CCUACGGGUGGCAGCAGUGGGGAAUAUUGCACAAUGGGCGAAAGCCUGAUGCAGCAACGCCGCGUGAAGGAAGAAGGGUUUCGGCUCGUAAACUUCUAUCAACAGGGACGAAAGAAAUGACGGUACCUGAAUAAGAAGCCCCGGCUAACUACGUGCCAGCAGCCGCGGUAAUACGUAGGGGGCAAGCGUUAUCCGGAAUUACUGGGUGUAAAGGGUGAGUAGGCGGCAUGGUAAGCCAGAUGUGAAAGCCUUGGGCUUAACCCGAGGAUUGCAUUUGGAACUAUCAAGCUAGAGUACAGUAGAGGUGGGCGGAAUUCGUGGUGUAGCGGUGAAAUGCUUAGAUAUCACGAAGAACUCCGAUUGCGAAGGCAGCUCACUGGACUGCAACUGACACUGAGGCUCGAAAGUGUGGGUAUCAAACAGGAUUAGAUACCCGAGUAGUC